rnacentral:rRNA from 1 species
UCUAGUUUAUCCUGCUAGAGGCUGCGGCUAUUUGGAUUCUGUUAAGCCAUGCAAGUUUUCCUCCGCAAGGAGGGAGCAAACUGCUCAGCAACACGUAGUUAAUCUAACCUAAGAUCGAGGACAAUCUCGGGAAUCUGAGCAUAAUACUCGAUAUAAAACAAAUACUGGAAUGUAUUGUUUUUGAAACGCAAGGUCUUAGGAUGAGACUGCGGUCGAUUAGGUAGUUGUUGAGGUAACUACUCAACAAGCCAAUGAUCGAUAAGGGCCCUUAACGGGGGUGCCCUGAGAGGGAAUCUGAGACACUAUUCCCAGCUCUAUGGAGUGCAGCAGGCGAGGAAAUUUUCCAAUGUCCGCAAGGAUGAGAAAGGAAUCCGAAGUGCUAUUCUUUUUAGAAUAGCUUUUAUCCACUGUAAAAAGGUGGGAGAAUAAGGACUGGGCAAGACUGGUGCCAGCCGCCGCGGUAAUCCCAGCAGUCCGAGUCGUGGCCACAUUUAUUAGGUCUAAAACAUUCGUAGCUUGUUUCGUAAGUCCUUUGUGAAAUAUUAUCGCUCAACGAUAAUGCGUGCAAAGGAUACUGCGUUGCUGGAGACUGGUAGACGUAAGGAGUACGGUUGAGGUAGCGGUAAAAUGUUUUAAUCUCAAUCGGACUAACAAUGGCGAAGGCACCUUACGAGGACAGAUCUGACAGUGAGGAAUGAAGGCCAGGGGCGCAAAAUGGAUUAGAUACCCAUGUAGUCCUGGCAGUAAACCCUGAUUACUAAACAUUGUGUUCUCCUCGAGAGAAUGCAGUGCUGAAGCGAAGGCGGAAGUAAUCUACCUGGGGAGUAUAGCCGCAAGGCCGAAACUUAAAGGAAUUGGCGGGGGGGCACUACAAGGGGUGACGCGUGCGGUUCAAUUAGAUUCUACACCGUGAACCUCACCAGGAGCGACAGCAGAAUGAAGGUCAGUCUGAAGGGCUUACCUGACACGCUGAGAGGAGGUGCAUGGCCGUCGUCAGCUUGUGCUGUGAAGUGCCCUGUUAAAUCAGGUAACAAGCGAGACCUGCGUGCACAAUUGCUAUUUGAAAAAAAAGCACAUUGUGCAGACUGCUCCCGUAAGGGAGAGGAAGGUGCAGUCUACGACAGGUGAGUACGCCCCGAAUCCCCUGGGCUACACGCGCGCGGCAAUGCUGCGUACAAUGAGAUACAACUCCGAAAGGAGAAGUUAAUCCCCUAAAGUGCAGCUCAGUUCAGAUCGAACUUUGUAAUCCAGGUUCGUGACGCUGGAAUCCCUAGUAAUCGUUCUUUAUCAGAGAACGGUGAAUAAGUCCCUGCUCCUUGCACACACUGCCCAUCAAACCAUCCGAGUUAUUUGUAGGUGAGGUCUGCAAAGAACAAAUCUAUAGAUAAUAAGGAAGGUUAAGUUGUCACAAGGUA